GACGAACGCUGGCGGCGUGCUUAACACAUGCAAGUCGAACGGAAAGGCCCUGCUUUUGUGGGGUGCUCGAGUGGCGAACGGGUGAGUAACACGUGAGUAACCUGCCCUUGACUUUGGGAUAACUUCAGGAAACUGGGGCUAAUACCGGAUAGGAGCUCCUGCUGCAUGGUGGGGGUUGGAAAGUUUCGGCGGUUGGGGAUGGACUCGCGGCUUAUCAGCUUGUUGGUGGGGUAGUGGCUUACCAAGGCUUUGACGGGUAGCCGGCCUGAGAGGGUGACCGGCCACAUUGCGACUGAGAUACGGCCCAGACUCCUACGGGAGGCAGCAGUGGGGAAUAUUGCACAAUGGGCGGAAGCCUGAUGCAGCAACGCCGCGUGCGGGAUGACGGCCUUCGGGUUGUGAACCGCUUUCGCCUGUGACGAAGCGUGAGUGACGGUAAUGGGUAAAGAAGCACCGGCUAACUACGUG
rnacentral:rRNA from 1 species